UACGUAGGGUCCGAGCGUUGUCCGGAAUUAUUGGGCGUAAAGGGCUCGUAGGCGGUUCGUCACGUCGGGAGUGAAAACUCGGGGCUUAACCCCGAGCCUGCUUCCGAUACGGGCAGACUAGAGGUAGGCAGGGGAGAGCGGAACUCCUGGUGUAGCGGUGGAAUGCGCAAAUAUCAGGAGGAACACCGGUGGCGAAGGCGGAUCUCUGGGCCUUACCUGACGCUCAGGUGCGAAAGCUAGGGGAGCGAACAGG
rnacentral:rRNA from 1 species